rnacentral:rRNA from 1 species
CUAGGAAUCUUGGGAAUGGGCGCAAGCCUGACCCAGCAACGCCGCGUGGGCGAUGAAGGCCUUCGGGUCGUAAAGCCCUUUUGCAAGGGACGAUGAUGACGGUACCUUGCGAAUAAGCCACGGCUAACUACGUGCCAGCAGCCGCGGUAAUACGUAGGUGGCAAGCGUUGUCCGGAUUUACUGGGCGUAAAGGGCGUGCAGGCGGCUUGUUAAGUGCAGGGUGAAAGCUCCCGGCUCAACUGGGAGAGGUCCUUGCAUACUGGCGAGCUCGAGGGAGGCAGAGGAAAGUGGAAUUCCCGGUGUAGUGGUGAUAUGCGUAGAUAUCGGGAGGAACACCUGUGGCGAAGGCGGCUUUCUGGGCCUUACCUGACGCUGAGACGCGAGAGCGUGGGGAGCGAAC